rnacentral:rRNA from 1 species
GUAAACGGCGGCCGUAACUAUAACGGUCCUAAGGUAGCGAAAUUCCUUGUCGGGUAAGUUCCGACCUGCACGAAUGGCGUAAUGAUGGCCACGCUGUCUCCACCCGAGACUCAGUGAAAUUGAAAUCGCUGUGAAGAUGCAGUGUACCCGCGGCUAGACGGAAAGACCCCGUGAACCUUUACUACAGCUUGGCACUGAACAUUGAACCUACAUGUGUAGGAUAGGUGGGAGGCUAUGAAGACGUGACGCCAGUUGCGUUGGAGCCGUCCUUGAAAUACCACCCUUGUAUGUUUGAUGUUCUAACUUAGACCCAUUAUCUGGGUUGAGGACAGUGCCUGGUGGGUAGUUUGACUGGGGCGGUCUCCUCCCAAAGAGUAACGGAGGAGCACGAAGGUGGGCUAAUCACGGUUGGACAUCGUGAGGUUAGUGCAAUGGCAUAAGCCCGCUUAACUGCGAGAAUGACGGUUCGAGCAGGUGCGAAAGCAGGUCAUAGUGAUCCGGUGGUUCUGUAUGGAAGGGCCAUCGCUCAACGGAUAAAAGGUACUCCGGGGAUAACAGGCUGAUACCGCCCAAGAGUUCAUAUCGACGGCGGUGUUUGGCACCUCGAUGUCGGCUCAUCACAUCCUGGGGCUGAAGUCGGUCCCAAGGGUAUGGCUGUUCGCCAUUUAAAGUGGUACGCGAGCUGGGUU